AGUCUUGGGCAUUUGGGCCAGGAGACGUUGGAGAAUCUAGGGAAAGCAAAGCAGAAAGCAAGUGAGAUGCCUUGCUAAAAUGUAUAACAAAUUAAGGAAAAGAAAACUCUGGUUAGCUUCCCCGCCAAGUGAUUAAAAAAGUGAUGAAAAAGUGAAAAGUGUGUGUGCUAAAAAAAUAGCUUACUAAUGCUCGACCGGCGAAUAAACUUCGACCAUCGAUAAAUGCAGGGUGAAAGUGAAAUAAAA